CCUUCUUUGCAUCACUUGGUUACUUGUGGCUUUCUGUAUGGUUGUUCAAUGUUGAAAGUGACCCUCUUGACAGUCGUACAAUAAGCAAAUCUGAGCUGCAAUUAAUCCUAGCCGGAAGAAGUGCAUCAAAAAUUCAGGGUAGCAAAUUCCCAUCCUUACGAGAAAUUCUGUCGAAGAUCGAAAUGUGGGCCAUCAUUGUAGCUAAUGUGGUCAACAACUGGGUAAGAUUGAUAAAUCAGUUAUCUACAAAUUGGUGUUGACAUAUCUAUCUAAAUUUUAACUUCCGUGAGUUCGAAAUACUAUGCAGGGCUAUUUUGUACUACUAUCAUGGAUGCCUGUCUACUUUAAAACGGUAUGUUGUCUAAGGUGUUCAAAUUGGUCACUGUGACAACGCUGCUAUUAAGCUAAUUCCUGACUGCUAUCCUACAACAGGUUUAUAAUGUCAACUUAAAACAAGCAGCAUGGUUCAGUGCCAUACCUUGGGCAGUCAUGGCUCUGUCUGGUUACGUCGCAGGAGCUUCUGCAGAUUUCCUGAUCAAAUCUGGUUUCUCUGUUGCAUUAGUUCGGAAGAUUAUGCAGGUAACAGCAACACCUGAAAUUAGACUUGUGCAGCACUUGGAAGUUACUGAUAGCUUAGCACAGCCAGAAACAUAAAACUUACCACAAUUUUGUUCUCUAUUCAUGCUUGGUACAGUCCAUCGGUUUUAUCGGGCCAGGCGUUUCACUGCUUUGCUUAAGAUUUGCCCAGACGCCAUC
rnacentral:lncRNA from 1 species